GCUUACUUCAGAAGAACAUAUACUAAAAUUGGAACAACACAAAGAAGAUCAUCAUGACCCUUUUACAAGGAUGAUGUACAUUUGUGAAGCAGUUUAAAGAAAAACUGUUAUU
rfam:Pelodiscus sinensis unplaced genomic scaffold scaffold587, whole genome shotgun sequence.